GUGCCUAAUACAUGCAAGUAGAACGCUGAAGACUUUAGACUUGCUAAAGUUGGAAGAGUUGCGAACGGGUGAGUAACGCGUAGGUAACCUGCCUACUAGCGGGGGAUAACUAUUGGAAACGAUAGCUAAUACCGCAUAACAGCAUUUAACACAUGUUAGAUGCUUGAAAGGAGCAAUUGCUUCACUAGUAGAUGGACCUGCGUUGUAUUAGCUAGUUGGUGAGGUAACGGCUCACCAAGGCGACGAUACAUAGCCGACCUGAGAGGGUGAUCGGCCACACUGGGACUGAGACACGGCCCAGACUCCUACGGGAGGCAGCAGUAGGGAAUCUUCGGCAAUGGGGGCAACCCUGACCGAGCAACGCCGCGUGAGUGAAGAAGGUUUUCGGAUCGUAAAGCUCUGUUGUAAGAGAAGAACGUGUGUGAGAGUGGAAAGUUCACACAGUGACGGUAACUUACCAGAAAGGGACGGCUAACUACGUGCCAGCAGCCGCGGUAAUACGUAGGUCCCGAGCGUUGUCCGGAUUUAUUGGGCGUAAAGCGAGCGCAGGCGGUUUAAUAAGUCUGAGGUUAAAGGCAGUGGCUUAACAUUGUUCGCUUUGGAAACUGUUAGACUUGAGUGCAGAAGGGGAGAGUGGAAUCCCAUGUGUANCGGGUGAAAUGCGUAAAUAUAUGGA
rnacentral:rRNA from 1 species